CGUGUAGGCGGCUAGACAAGUCAGAUGUGAAAUCCCUGGGCUUAACCCAGGACGUGCAUUUGAAACUGUUUGGCUUGAGUAAGGAAGAGGGAAGUGGAAUUCCUGGUGUAGAGGUGAAAUUCGUAGAUAUCAGGAGGAACACCGGUGGCGAAGGCGACUUCCUGGUCCUAUACUGACGCUGAGACGCGAGAGCGUGGGGAGCAAACAG
rnacentral:rRNA from 1 species